GCGCGAAAACUUUGCAAUGCGAGAAAUCGUGACAAGGGAACUCCGAGUGCCCGUAAAUUCGGGCUGUCCGCCAGUUUAAAUAACUGGUGAAGAAAGGGCCGGGCAAGACCGGUGCCAGCCGCCGCGGUAAUACCGGCGGCUCGAGUGGUGGCCACUAUUACUGGGCUUAAAGCGUUCGUAGCUGGCUUGUUAAGUCUCUGGGGAAAUCUUCCGGCUUAACCGGAAGGCGUCUCAGGGAUACUGGCAGGCUAGGGACCGGUAGAGGUGAGGGGUACUCCAGGGGUAGGAGUGAAAUCCUGUAAUCCUUGGGGGACCACCUGUGGCGAAGGCGCCUCACCAGAACGGCUCCGACAGUGAGGAACGAAAGCUGGGGGAGCAAACCGGAUUAGAAACCCUAGU
rnacentral:rRNA from 1 species